CAAUCUACCUUUAGAUUCGGAAUAACGUCGAGAAAUCGGCGCUAAUACCGUAUAAUGCAGCGGCAUCGCAUGAUGAUGUUGUUAAAGUUUUCUUAACGUCUAGAGAUGAGCUUGUAUCUGAUUAGCUAGUUGGUAAGGUAAUGGCUUACCAAGGCUACGAUCAGUAGCUGGUCUGAGAGGAUGAUCAGCCACAUUGGAACUGAGACACGGUCCAG
rnacentral:rRNA from 1 species